GACGAACGCUGGCGGCGUGCUUAACACAUGCAAGUCGAACGGAAAGGCCCUGCUUUUGUGGGGUGCUCGAGUGGCGAACGGGUGAGUAACACGUGAGUAACCUUCCCUUGACUUUGGGAUAACUUCAGGAAACUGGGGCUAAUACCGGAUAGGAGCUCCUGCUGCAUGGUGGGGGUUGGAAAGUUUCGGCGGUUGGGGAUGGACUCGCGGCUUAUCAGCUUGUUGGUGGGGUAGUGGCUUACCAAGGCUUUGACGGGUAGCCGGCCUGAGAGGGUGACCGGCCACAUUGGGACUGAGAUACGGCCCAGACUCCUACGGGAGGCAGCAGUGGGGAAUAUUGCACAAUGGGCGGAAGCAUGAUGCAGCAACGCCGCGUGCGGGAUGACGGCCUUCGGGUUGUAAACCGCUUUCGCCUGUGACGAAGCGUGAGUGACGGUAAUGGGUAAAGAAGCACCGGCUAACUACGUG
rnacentral:rRNA from 1 species